UACGUAGGGGGCAAGCGUUGUCCGGAUUCAUUGGGCGUAAAGAGCGUGUAGGCGGCCAGGUAGGUCGGUUGUGAAAACUGGAGGCUCAACCUUGAGAGGUCGACCGAAACCAUCUGGCUAGAGUUCGGAAGAGGCGAGUGGAAUUCCCGGUGUAGCGGUGAAAUGCGCAGAUAUCGGGAGGAACACCUAUGGCGAAGGCAGCUCGCUGGGACGUUACUGACGCUGAGACGCGAAAGCGUGGGGAGCAAACAGG
rnacentral:rRNA from 1 species